rnacentral:lncRNA from 1 species
CUCAUCAGGAAAAUAAGGAUGCCUAUUCUUCCUAAUCUGCCAGAAACAUCUGACUAUUGGAGAGAUGAAAGCAUUCUCAAAAACUUUAAAACACUAAACAAUAUUGAAUUAAGCCAGGAAGUUUUUCCUCCAGAGCAUUCGUUGAGACCACUGAGAGCAAGCAGGCCUAUUUCCUAAGAACAAGCUCACAAAUCCUCUGGAAAACAAGCUCACAACUCCUCAAGACCUCUGAGUCACCCCUCAAGUUAAACAGGAAGACAGCAAAUUGGUUUAAUAUCUACAGUAACCCUCAGGCCUGCUGUGAUGACUGCCUGCUCCUUCUAUGCCUAUCAUAUAAAUCCUGCCUGUGGCUGUGACAAGUUCUG